AAUCGUAUAGUUUAAAUAAAAAUGUUAAAUUGCAAGUUUAAAGAUGGUUAAUUCCUAAGAUUU
rnacentral:tRNA from 1 species